CCCGCUCAGAAACUCAAAGGAAUUGACGGGGGCCCGCACAAGCGGUGGAGCAUGUGGUUUAAUUCGAUGAUACGCGAGGAACCUUACCUGGGCUCAAAUGUAUGUUGACGUAUUCUGAAAGGGAUACUUCUUCGGACAAUAUACAAGGUGCUGCAUGGUUGUCGUCAGCUCGUGCCGUGAGGUGUCGGGUUAAGUCCCAUAACGAGCGCAACCCCUAUCAUUAGUUGCCAUCAGGUCAAGCUGGGGACUCUAAUGAAACUGCCUACGCAAGUAGUGAGGAAGGUGGGGAUGACGUCAAAUCAGCACGGCCCUUACGUCCAGGGCUACACACGUGCUACAAUGGUCGGUACAAAGGGUUGCCAAGCCGCGAGGUGGAGCUAAUCCCAUAAAACCGAUCGUAGUCCGGAUCGCAGUCUGCAACUCGACUGCAUGAAGCUGGAAUCGCUAGUAAUCGCAGAUCAGCCAAGCUGCGGUGAAUACGUUCCCGGGCCUU
rnacentral:rRNA from 1 species